rnacentral:rRNA from 1 species
AUUGAACGCUGGCGGCAGGCCUAACACAUGCAAGUCGAGCGAGCGGCGGACGGGUGAGUAAUGCCUGGGAAUUGCCCUGUCGAGGGGGAUAACAGUUGGAAACGACCGCAUAUCCCGCAUCCGAAUGGAUCGCCCAGGUGGGAUUAGCUGGUUGGUGGGGUAAUGGCUCACCAAGGCGACGAUCCCUAGCUGGUCUGAGAGGAUGACCAGCCAAACUGGAACGGAGACACGGUCCAGACUCCUACGGGAGGCAGCAGUGGGGAAUAUUGCACAAUGGGGGAAACCCUGAUGCAGCCAUGCCGCGUGUAUGAAGAAGGCCUUCGGGUUGUAAAGUACUUUCAGCGAGGAGGCGUUACUCGCAGAAGAAGCACCGGCUAACUCCGUGCCAGCAGCCGCGGUAAUAC